UGACUGCAGCGCCAUGCCACAAUUCUUAAAAUGUUUGCAGAGGGAGGGCAGAAUAUCAGUAGCAACCUCAGUUUACAAGUUGAUCAUUGAUGACACAUAGUACAUCUGAUUCUCACAGACAAGUUUUUAUAAGGCUUGCAGCUGCAGACAAGAACGUAACUGCCAGUUCACGGACAAUUACCAAAUGAUAUCUUUAGAAGUUUACAGUAAGUGCUGUGUAUGUGUUCAUGGAGUGAAAAACAUUGCAGCACUUGAAACAUUUCAGCUUUGUAUCUCUCGGAUGAUUAUCUGAAUGUAGAGGAAAAUGAAGAAGCGGAUUUAUCCAGAAUCCCAUAACUGGGGGAGGCUUUCCACCAUUCUUUUUCUCUUCACUUUUGUAAUCAUCAUGCUGACUGCACCGUCUGUGUUUUUUACACAAACAAGAGGAAAUCAAAAUGGGAAACAAAAUGAACCCAACGGAGCAUGGCAGAAACGCCAGAUACUCAACAACUACAAACUGAACAAUCUAUCAAAGAUAAACAUUACCAACUAUGACCUGUCACAGAUUUUGAAAAGUGGACACAUUUUGAAUGACACAACCCAACAGUCUAUCAAUAAAUCAUCAGAAUCAAAGCAACACAUUAUGAAAGACUGGUUGCCUGAGAUUCUUUCAAACACCACAACUUUGACAUCCACAUAUGGCUCUUCAACUCGAACUGCAACACCAGGGAUGAGACUAAGAGAUACAGAUACAUAUACAGCUGAAUCUGAAGCUACACUACAAACUGGAGGCGCAACUCGACUUUCAUCAGGUAAUGAGGAAAAAUUAACUGGUCAGCUUGCUGAAAGGUCAAGUUCACACAAUACUGAAUCAAAAUCAAUAAAUGCUGUGGCAACUCUGACUCCGUCAUCUGUUGCAACAGUGACACCCACAGGAAUAACAAAAUCAACACAGUCAGUCUCAUUACCCACAACUAAUGAAGUAACAUCAUCAACCAUGACAGAAUAUUCAACAACCAAUUUCCCCACAAGUAUUAAACUUACAUCUUCUUCACCGUCAACAUUGGAUUCGACAACUACUGACUUUGCUGAUACAUCAACUUCACACAGUAUUGAAACAGAAGCAACAACUGCUAUGACAACUCUGAGUCCAUCAACUAACCAGGAAACAUCUACAUCUAUGAUGUCCUCACCCACACAACCAGACCUGACAUCUGCUGCAACAGUGACACCCACAGAAAUAACACAACUAACAGAGUCAGUCUCAUCACCCACCACAGAUGAAGUAACAUCAUCAACCAUGACAGAAUAUUCUUCAACAACCACUUUCCCCACAAGUACUAAACUUACAUCUUCUUCACCGUCAAC
ensembl:lncRNA